rnacentral:misc_RNA from 1 species
GAUGAAGAACGUAGCGAAAUGCGAAAAGUAAUGUGAAUUGCAGAAUUCAGUGAAUCAUCGAAUCUUUGAACGCACAUUGCGCCCGCCAGUAUUCUGGCGGGCAUGCCUGUCUGAGCGUCAUUUCAACCCUCACGCCCCUAGGGCGUGGUGUUGGGGAUCGGCCAGCGCCCCGCGGGCGAGGCCGUCCCCUAAAUCUAGUGGCGGACCCGUCGUGGCCUCCCCUGCGAAGUAGUGAUAUUCCGCAUAGGAGAGCGACGAGCCCCUGCCGUUAAACCCCCAACUUUCUCAGGUUGACCUCAGAUCAGGUAGGAAUACCCGCUGAACUUAAGCAUAUCAAUAAGCGGAGGA